AUACGGAGGGAGCGAGCGUUAAUCGGAAUUACUGGGCGUAAAGCGCGCGUAGGCGGCUUUGUAAGUCGGAUGUGAAAGCCCAGGGCUUAACCCUGGAAUUGCAUUCGAUACUGCAUGGCUAGAGUAUGGUAGAGGGAAGUGGAAUUUCCGGUGUAGCGGUGAAAUGCGUAGAUAUCGGAAGGAACACCAGUGGCGAAGGCGACUUCCUGGGCCAAUACUGACGCUGAGGUGCGAAAGCGUGGGGAGCAAACAGGAUUAGAAACCCGGGUAGUCC
rnacentral:rRNA from 1 species